rnacentral:lncRNA from 1 species
GCUCACUUGGCCUUGAGUCCACCUUCAGCCUUGGUUGGCCUGGAAGUCCAAGGGGCGUCCACCAGGCAGGGAGCCUGCAGGAUCAGUGGAUUAUUUGCUUCCUCCUCCUGCCCUCAGGCUAGGUCCACUAACAGGAGGACCCACACUCUCGUCAUUUCAACACCCGGGCAUCACACUAAAUGGUUCCUUCAUCCAGACGCAGAGAGUCUCUUUCCUAAGCUGGGGAAAUACUAUUCACGAUCAAUGGGAGACUUUCAACAUGGCUGAUCUACCUGGGAAGGAAACCAGACACAACCACGCUGUACCCUGGAGAAGGAACUAGGCUGGUGGAUGAAUUAAAAGCCACUCUCUGGUCCUGAUGUGUGCCUUGUGAUUACAGAGCAGUGUUUACAACCACACUUCUUCAAAGACAGCAACAAUGGUGAGAAAAAAGGAUGUGAUCCCUGAUGAAAACCACACACACCAAAUGCAAGUGGGACUCUGCCCUCCCUCUGCCUAAGCACACUAUGCUAUUUACUUGGUGGCAGUCCCCAGAUUAAGGCAGGGCAGCAUUAGAGGCUGUUCCCCACCGAGCCCCACAUAUGAGGCCAGGGAGCAGCCCCUGCUAUGGACACUUUCGUCAGCCAGUGAUGACCAAACCCCUCCAGUCCAGAGAGUGGAGAAGGCAUCCAUCAUCUCACACUGCCUUCCUCACCUUGAAGCCACCUCUUACUCCCACCGUGGACCAGGACAGAGAGGCAGGCUUCAGGCUGCCACUUUCCUCAGCAUCACAAGGCCCUCUUCUGUGCUUCCGGGCUGAUCUCUUGGCCCUGAUGGCCGAUGAUACCAAGAGAAAGAGAUGGGCUUAAGGAAAAAGGAAAUUAAGUUUUGGGGUCAUUCAAAUAUGUGUUCAUUAGAGACUAGUUAGUGGAAUGCUCGUGUUCUGUGAAUUCAUGGUUUUACAUUUCUCUUCCAGGAUAAUUUGCCCACACAUUUUUCUAGCAGCUCCUUUGAAGCUUUUCAGGAGAAGUGUGAAUGACCCUGAUACUCAUCUAGCUUUUCCCAAUACUGUGCUUGACACUAGUAAAAUCACCCAGUGUCCUUGGAUGUCAGUAGAGCAAAAUCGUUUCAUGUGAAGAAUCUCUAGCACGAUGCUUUGCAGGCAUCGUGCCUCUCCCUAGAAAGUUCUUCCUGAGGCAGUUGUAUUGAUAUGGUAUUGAUAUGAUAAAACUGUUGUCCUUCUGAGUUCCUGUGGCACUCCCUGCGGAUAAUCUGCAACUCCUGUGCCUUUGUCGGAGCUGUUUGUCUGGUGCCUACUGCAGCCCCAGCUCCAUGAGAUUGAGAUUCGCUUUCCUUUGCUCCCCUUGUAUCCAGUGUGGAAUGCAGAGCUGGGCACACAGAAGGUGCUUGAUAAAUGUGGUUUAAUGAAUGAAGAAAUGAAAUGACGUCUGAUCUCACUGGACUUCAUCUUUACCCAGAGUAUUUGUUCCUUGAUUUCCAUGAAUUCAUGUCAGUCUCAUAUAAGUGCUUUUAAUUGUUCUUAACACUCUCCUCUCAAGAUUUUAGAAGUGCCUGAGAAGUAUGCAGUGAAUUAGGUAUUAAAAUACUUGGCCAUUCAAGUGCAUCACCACAGAUGCAGAGGUGAAUGUUUAUAAGUAGAGGUGACAAUGAGAAACCAAUCGCUCGCACCCCUACCUCUGCAUACUCUUUCAGAUGAUUAUUAAUAUAUUUGAACUUUUUAAGUAAGACAGGCUUCAUCUUAAAGUCAUGUCAGUUUAAUAACUGCAUGUGAGUUUUAGGCUGAGCAUAGGGACAAGAAAGCUGCCAGACUCCCAGGUUUUGACCCACAUGCUGCCGCCUGCCGUUGGGGGGAUCUGGACAAGGUGCUUCACCUCUGGAUUCUGUUUCCUUAUCCAUUAAAUAGCUCAUAGGACUGUUGCACAGUUAUGUCAGCUGUGUCGAUGACUAUUAACAUAGAGAGGAAGAAAGCAUGGCCCACGCAGCUGUGGUGAAAUGGAAAAGUGUUUCGAUAGUAGAGAUCAGCGCCAAUGUGCAUGUGGGCACUCACGCAACAAGAGCACAUUGCAUGGACACCUGGUUCAACCCACAGUCAAAGACAAGUCUUUAACAUCAUUUAACCACUUUUUAAAAAGAAGGCAGGGGUGGCAUUUCAAGGAGAGAGAACAGAAUGCAGGAAAGCACAGGCUUUUUCGAGAGCAGCAGACACACCCGCUCACUGUCCUGGGUUUGUCCUUUGCGGGAGUUUACCACCGCAGAAAGCAAUCAGUGAAAGGCAUGUUUCACUGAGGUUUUGGCUGUGCUCCUGAUGUAGGUGCAUUCUUAUGUGAAGAGGUAUUUCAGCUGCCCUGGCUUCUGGGAUUGAGAAAAACAUCUGGUGGGCUUCCAUAAAUAAUAUCAGCCGAAGGCAUUCUGACUCCCAGAGCUUCAUGUUGUUCCGGGUAUGGGUUAAAUGUGUGCUCACGGCUACCUCUUAAAUGAAGAACCUGUUUGUGAAACGACAGAGCCAAAAUCCCUUAUGAACCAGAAAAAGAUAAAUAAAUAAAAAUAAAAUGGAUCCAAACACAAACCCAAAUAUCAAAUGUUACAGAAUCUAGAACACAAUAUUCCUUUUGAUAAAACCAACUGAGUCUAUUUCAACAUCUGCCUUUUAAAAGGGAUAGAAUUGUGAAAAUACGCAGUGUGAAAUUUUCCCAUUUCUCUAGUUAAUGUUGGACUCUGGAACACAAC